GCCGACAUGGCGCAGUGGUAACGCGUCGCACUUGUAUACCACUCUUGGCAUUUAAUGCGAAGGUAAAUAAUAUACCUUCAGAUGUUCAAUAAACUCAUCUAACCAUAAUUAUCUGUAGAUCCCUAGUUCAAUUCUGGGUGUCGGCA
rnacentral:tRNA from 1 species